GAUGAACGCUGGCGGCGUGCCUAACACAUGCAAGUCGAGCGAACAGACGAGGAGCUUGCUCCUCUGACGUUAGCGGCUGACGGGCGAGUAACACGUGGAUAACCUACCUAUAUGACUGGGAGAAAUUCGUGAAACCGCUGCCAAUACUGGAUCAUAUAUUCAACCGCAUGGUUCAAUAGUGCAAGGCGGUUUUGCUGUCACUUAUAGAUGGAGCCGCGUCGGAUUAGCUAGUUGGUAAGGUAACGGCUUACCAAGGCGACGAUGCGUAGCCGACCUGAGAGGGUGAUCAGCCACACUGGAACUGAGACACGGUCCAGACUCCUACGGGAGGCAGCAGUGGGGAAUAUUCGGCAAUGGGCGAAAGCCUGACGGAGCAACGCCGCGUGGGUGAUGAAGGUCUUCGGGUCGUAAAGCUCUGUUAUUAGGGAAGAACAACAGUAUAAGUAACUAUGCACGUUUUGACGGUACCUAAUCAGAAAGCAACGGCUAACUACGUG
rnacentral:rRNA from 1 species